rnacentral:rRNA from 1 species
AGAGUUUGAUUCUGGCUCAGGACGAACGCUGGCGGCGUGCUUAACACAUGCAAGUCGAGCGGAAAGGCCACUUCGGUGGUACUCGAGCGGCGAACGGGUGAGUAACACGUGAGUAAUCUGCCCUUGGCUUUGGGAUAGCCACCGGAAACGGUGAUUAAUACCGGAUACGACAACUACUCGCAUGGGUUGGUUGUGGAAAGUUUUUCGGCCAGGGAUGUGCUCGCGGCCUAUCAGCUUGAUGGUGAGGUAAUGGCUCACCAUGGCUUCGACGGGUAGCCGGCCUGAGAGGGUGACCGGUCACACUGGGACUGAGACACGGCCCAGACUCCUACGGGAGGCAGCAGUGGGGAAUAUUGGACAAUGGGCGGAAGCCUGAUCCAGCAACGCCGCGUGAGGGAUGACGGCCUUCGGGUUGUAAACCUCUUUCGGUAGGGACGAAGCGCAAGUGACGGUACCUACUAAAGAAGCACCGGCCAACUACGUGCCAGCAGCCGCGGUAAUACGUAGGGUGCGAGCGUUGUCCGGAAUUAUUGGGCGUAAAGGGCUCGUAGGCGGUUUGUCGCGUCGGGAGUGAAAACCAGGUGCUUAACACCUGGCUUGCUUUCGAUACGGGCAGACUAGAGGUAUGCAGGGGAGAACGGAAUUCCUGGUGUAGCGGUGAAAUGCGCAGAUAUCAGGAGGAACACCGGUGGCGAAGGCGGUUCUCUGGGCAUGACCUGACGCUGAGGAGCGAAAGUGUGGGGAGCGAACAGGAUUAGAUACCCUGGUAGUCCACACCGUAAACGUUGGGCGCUAGGUGUGGGGUCCAUUCCACGGAUUCCGUGCCGCAGCUAACGCAUUAAGCGCCCCGCCUGGGGAGUACGGCCGCAAGGCUAAAACUCAAAGGAAUGACGG